GACGAACGCUGGCGGCGUGCUUAACACAUGCAAGUCGAACGGAAAGGCCCUGCUUGCAGGGUACUCGAGUGACGAACGGGUGAGUAACACGUGGGUGAUCUGCCCUGCACUUCGGGAUAAGCCUGGGAAACUGGGUCUAAUACCGGAUAGGAGCCAUUUUUAGUGUGAUGGUUGGAAAGUUUUUUCGGUGUAGGAUGAGCUCGCGGCCUAUCAGCUUGUUGGUGGGGUAAUGGCCUACCAAGGCGGCGACGGGUAGCCGGCCUGAGAGGGUGGACGGCCACAUUGGGACUGAGAUACGGCCCAGACUCCUACGGGAGGCAGCAGUGGGGAAUAUUGCACAAUGGGCGCAAGCCUGAUGCAGCGACGCCGCGUGGGGGAUGACGGCCUUCGGGUUGUAAACUCCUUUCGCUAGGGACGAAGCUUUUUGUGACGGUACCUAGAUAAGAAGCACCGGCUAACUACGUG
rnacentral:rRNA from 1 species